GCUGGGGCGGCGGGCAGACGGCAGGCGCUGAGGGGUCCGCCUCCGGUACUGGGACAUCUGGCUUCUGAGCCGUCCAGGCCGCCGGCCUUAGAGAGGGGCUGCCUCAGUUUUCUCUUUGGGAGUCCCCGGGUCUAGAUGGAAGGUGGAAGGAAAGGGGGCGUUUUGAGAUUGGGGAGCCUCCUGCCGGGCUGUAGUUAACAGAAGAUGAGGAGCUUGGGGACGUGGAGAGAAUUUCAGCCUCAGGAGCCUCUGAGGUCUGGAGAGAGGCUGUGAUUUGGGGGUGGAGGCGGAUUGGGGUGGGCGGAACGUGCAGGAUGAGAAGUCCUGAGGUUCCGGGCGGGCCUGGGAAUGAAGUCAGGCUUCAGGUCUGAGCAGGGUCUACUCUGUUCAGUCCCUCCUCUCUCCCUCAGUUUCCCCACUUUUACCUUGCCUGUGAAUGGGUUGUUAUAAGUGGGAGUGCCAGAGUGCCGGUUUGCUCUCUAACCCUACCUGUGGUCUGGUAACUCUCCUGGGAGACUCCUGCCUCCUCCUCUUCCCUACCUUGGUGGGUGUGGAGACCCUGGCUCAGCCCCCAUCCCUGCCCAGGCAGGCCCACACCAGGGCCUGCCAGCAUCUCAUCCUCUGUGCCUUCAUCCUCUCCUUUGCUCUUCACAUUGAGGAAUAGCCAUCUGGUCCUACUUGCUUUGCAACAAACUAAAAGGCCUUCCCAUCCUCUCCAGGAGGGCCUCUCACAGCUGGACCCUUGGCUCUGAGUCUGCUCUUGCUUCUCUCCCUCUUUCUGAGCUCUUAGGCCGUUCCCUGUGGUGGCCUCCAUCUCCCCAUAGGCUGUUACCUGGCCACAGGGUCCUUGUCCCGUAGAGGGGAGAAGCUCACCAUGUCACCAAUCCCCUGACCCCUUUGUAAAAACCAGAGUGGCAUUCCUGUUGCUUUUGCUCUCCUGUCCCAAUCACUCUGCCGCUAAGUUUGUUGGUUACUCAGAUCCCCUUAGCCAAUCUGCACACUGGGAUCUCAGGUGGGAAGGGACCCCAUCUAGCCCACUGAUGCCCCCACUCAGUGCAGGAUCCCCCUGCUGCAUACACUCAGUGACGGGGGGCUCAUUACUUCUGAGGCACAGUUCAGUGUCCUGCUGCUCUGGCUUCAGUUAGCUAAAAUCUGUGGCUUGCAGAUUCUACCUCUCCUUUCACUUCUGCCUCUGGAACCAUGCAAAGUGAAUUCAUUCUUUUAUUCACUCACACAGUCUUUAUCAGUGCACUGGAUGAGACACUGGGGAUAUAGUAAUGAAAAAAUCAGACCAAAUUCCUUGCCCUCAUGGGGUUUGUAUUCUAGAAAGGAGUUGGACACCAGUCCAAUUCGUAAAUACACAGUGUGUCAGGUGGUGAGAAGUACUAUGGACAAAAAUGAAGCAGGCAAGGAGGAUGAAGUGUUGGGCUGGGUAUUGUGAUUUUAUAAAGCAUAGUCAGGGAGGGCCUCUUUGAGAUCAUGACAGUGGAGCAAAGCCUUGAAGGAGGUGAGGGGGGAGCUAUGUGAAUAUCUGAGGGAGAAGACAGUGCACCCACAGAGAGAAGAGCGUGUGCAGAGGCCCUGGGGCAGAAGCAUGACAGGUGGGAGCAGGUCUGGCUUGUUCUAGAAACAAGGCCAGUGUGGCUGGGGCAGGGUGGGCGAGGAUUAGUAGGAAAGGAGCACAGAGAGGUAAGGGGUGGAGAGGUGGGGAUCCACUGCAUGCAGUCUUGAAGGCCACUGGGAGGGCUUUAGUGUUCACUGAGUUUAGUGGGAGCCACUGGAGGGCUUUGAGCGGAGGCAUCACCUGCUCUGACCUAGAUGUUAGCAGGUUUAUCUGGCUGUGGGCAAGAGAUAGUCUUUAGGGAGGUGAGGGCAAAAGGGUGGGGGGACCAGUGAGGGGAUCACAGUUGUCAUUCUGAGGAAAGACCGUGGGGCCUUAUACCCAUGGCACAGAGGUGGUGAAAAAAUAUGAGAUUUUCAGAUUUGGGAUGUAUUUUCAAGGUAGGGGAGAUAGGAUUUGGGAUGUAUUUUCAAGGUAGGGGAGAUAGGAUUUGGAAUGUGAGAGAAAGGUGGAGUCAAAGAUGACCCAGAGAUUUUUUGUUCUGUAGAGCAGACAUCAGCUGAGAUGGGAGCUGUUUAGGGGGAAGAUCUGGAGUUUGGUUUUGAUGAUCAUUAGGCAGUUGGAAAAGUUUAGUGGGGAGGUUGGAACUGGAAAUAAAAUUUGGGGCAUCAUCACCUUAUAGCUGGUAUUUAAAGCCAUAAGAGCAGGUAAGCUCACUUAGGGAGAGAGUGAUGCAGAGAAAAGAGAUCCCACCAGGGAGUUCUGAGCUCUCAGCAUUGGGAACCAGCCAAGGAGACAGAAAAGAGCAGCCAGUGAGAUGGGAGGAAAAACCAGAGAGUUGGCGUUUUCUGGAUGGCAGUCAGGGAGGUGCUUCAAGGAGGAGAGAGGGAGUGAUUAACAGAUGGCUUGAGUCUGCCUCUUUCUCCUGGUGCCCUGAGCCAGCGAGGUGAGGACUGAGAAUCCAGCAACCUGGAGGUCACUGGUGACAACUACAAAAGCAGCUGGAGUCAAGGGGGACACGAUUGGAGGGGAUAGGAGAGGAGGACUUGAGGGCAGCAGUACAGACAACAGACAAGAAAAGCUGCUGUGAAGAUGGACAGAGAAAUGGGGUUGGAUGGAGAAAUUCCAGUAUGUCUGUAUGCUGGUGAGAACUGCUCUCCCAGAAAGAAGCUCGGUGAAGAGGGCUACAACGGAGGCUGGCUGCCGAAAGUGAGGGGGAUGGGUCCAGUGCCCCAGGGGAGCGUGGCCCCAGCUGAGAGCCCGGAGAUUCCAGAAGCUGUGCUUCAGGGCCUCCCUCUCUCCUGUCUGCAGCUGCCUCAGGCUGAGACUGCAACACUUAAGUAAAUCCAUGGGCUCAGGAUUCCAGAGAACUGGGUUGGCUGUGUCUCAGGAAGGAAAGAGGUGUCAGGACUUGGCUUGGGGAUAAAAGAGGGCCCGUGUGGGCUGCCCCUUCCACUUGACCCUCUGUUUCCACAAGGAAGUGCCCUUUUCUUUGUACAGACCUCACCUUCCUGGAGGAAAGACGAUAAUGACUCCAAAGUGGCAGUGAUUGAAGUAGAGAAGAAAAGGCAGUGGAGAGAGGCUGAUUUAUUUCAUCUGAAGAGGGGAAGUCUGAGCAGGGAAUAAAGUGGCAAAAGGCAGGAUUUUAGGGACAGUGUUAAUGAAAUAGGUCAUGAGUGGACAUCUGUUUUCUCUCAUUCCCACUGGAAACAGAAGCAGGAAAAACUUCAGUUAGACAUAAUGAGGAACUUCCUGAACUGGCUAGUGGGGACAGCAACAAGGCCUGGUCCUCCCUGCUAGAUGAGAAAAGACAAUGCCUUCUUAGAGACGGGUGCUGGCCAAAUUGGUUCUUGGAGAUUCUCCUGGCUCCGAGGUUUCCAGAAGAAGGCCAGGACGGAGAUGGGACUUUCCAGCUACAGGGAGGAUAGAGUGCCAAACCUUAUGGCUUGGGCCUGCCUCUUUCUACCUUUUCCCUAACAUCACUAGCUGGACAUGUGUGGCUCAAGCCAACUGGCUGACCUAGACUUGGUGUGUUUGGGAAGGGCCCCUGCUUCCUUGUAGCUUGUCCCCUUGUGGGCGAGCACAUCUGUGGGUGUGCCCAUUGUCUCGGGGUUUUCCCAGGAGGGAGGUAGGGUCUGUGGGCCAAUCUAGACCUUCCAGUCCUGUGCCACGCAGCCUUGCCUUCCUGCUAAAGGCCUGCCUGCAAAUGACUUGGCCAUGCCUGCUUCCCCAAGCCUCAUGAUCUUCGAUGGGGGACAGGGUGGUCCAGGCUCUCCCAGUGUGGAGGAGACAGCAGCUGUCCAUCCUCAGGCAUCCUCUGGGUGAGAGGGGCAGGUGUUGUCCUAUCUCAUCUUAACUCUUCAAUGUCUUUAAUUCCUGGCUGCACACAUGCCCUGCAGGCAUUGGGUCAGAGAGAGAGCUCUGACCCAAAUUCUGGGUUAUUUCCGGAGGGGUGGGUGGUUCUUUUCCCUAGGACCUGGGAACAGGGGGUGAUGGGGCUGGCAUUUCCACAGCUGAGGACCACUCCAGGGUCAAGCUCAGAGCUCCUCCUACCUGCCCCGUUCUCUCCUCUCCCCUCUCCCCACCUCUACCCUCUUGACUCCUUUGCUUGGCAGUGGACACAGGGAGGAGGCCUGCUUGGCCAGAGAGAAUUGUGUCACUUCCUAGGUUUACGGUGGCCUCUGCAUCAGGGAUGCCCUCCUUCCCAAGUGGCCAGACCCACGGGUCACCUCAUUGCCUUGGUUUCCUCCUCUGGCCAGCACAAGGCUUCCAGCCUAAGUGUUGGCAGCGUUCUGAGCUGGGGACUGCUCCUUUCCCUUACUUUGGCUGGCACGCGAGGACAGGCACAGAAUGUUCCAGCCCCUCCCCUCCCGCAGUAGAUGUUCUGAUUCAUGAACAUUCCCUCCGAGCCUCCCCUUGGCCCAGCCCUGUGCCAAGCUUAGCGGUGCCAGGAUGAGUAAGACCCAGGUUUCAACUUGGGCCAGGAAAGGAGUUAGACACAUAAACAACCAAUAAGAAAGAUGCAGUCGCUCCAGGCUCCUUGGCGUCUGCUCCCUCAAGUACCUUGGAAUGUCCCUGUUUUGUAGAAAGAAGCUGGCAUUCCUCUUCUUUCCAUGCCUACGUCCUUUCGCUUUUAUUUUCUGUGGGCCACCAGCCCACAUCCCUGGACUCCGUGACAGUCGCAGAAUAGACCUUGCUGAGAUUUUCUCUGCCUCAUGGGGACACUUCCAGGGCUGGAAGCUCCAUGAGAUCGCCUCCUGCAAAUCUCCAGAACCCUGAGUCUGACGGCUGAGCCCAGAGUAAGCCCCUGACAGAGGUGACAGCACAUAGUGUGCGGUGGUGACUGAUUGUGAAAUGUGCUCUCAUGAGGCUUUCCAGGCCCAAAGGAGCCAGCUGGUGGAGCUGCUGGUCUCGGGGUCCCUGGAGGGCUUCGAGAGCAUCCUGGACUGGCUGCUUUCCUGGGAAGUUCUCUCCUGGGAGGACUAUGAGGGGUUCAGCCUCCUGGGCCAGCCCCUCUCCCACUUGGCCAGGCGCCUCCUGGACACUGUCUGGAAUAAGGGUGGUUGGGGCUGUGAACAACUCAUCACAGCUGUGCAAAAGUCCCAAGCUGACAGCCAACCCCCCGAGCUUUCUGGCUGCUGGGACCCCCACUCACCCCACCCAGUCCGUGACCUCCAGAGGCACCGGCCAGCCAUCGUCAGGAGACUCUACAGUCACGUGGAGGAUGUGCUGGACCGGACGCAAGAGCAGGGUUUCAUCAGCCGGUACGAAAGUGAUGAAAUCCGGCUGCCUAUCUUCACAUCAUCCCAGCGGGCAAGAAGGCUCCUCGAUCUUGCCACAGUGAAGACAAACGGAUUGGCUGCUUUCCUUCUGCAACAUGUUCAGGAAUUACCCGUCCCUUUGACCCUGCCUUUUGAAGAUGCCGCCUGUAAAAAGUACAUGACCAAGCUGAGGACCACGGUAUCUGCUCAGUCUCGCUUUCUGAGCACCUACGAUGGGGCAGAGAAUCUUUGCCUGGAAGAAAUAUAUACAGAGAAUGUUCUGGAGAUCCGGACGGAGGCAGGCAUGGCUGGACCUCCGCAGCAGAGCCCUGCCACCCUGCGCCUGGAGGAGCUCUUCAGCACCAGAGGCCACAUCAACGGAGAUGCAGACACCGUGCUGGUGGUGGGCGAGGCGGGCAGCGGCAAGAGCACGCUCCUGCAGCAGCUGCACCUGCUGUGGGCCUCGGGGCGGGGCUUCCAGGAAUUCCUUUUCGUCUUCCCAUUCAGCUGCCGGCAGCUGCAGUGCCUGGUGAAACCGCUGUCCAUGCAGAUGCUGCUCUUUGAACACUGCUGUUGGCCCGACCUUGGCCAACAGGACGUCUUCCAGGUCCUCCUUGACCAUCCUGAGCGCAUCCUCUUAACCUUCGAUGGCUUUGAUGAGUUCAGGUUCAGGUUCACGGAUCGCGAGCGUCACUGCUCUCCCACCACCCCUACGUCUGUCCAGAGUUUGCUCUUCAACCUCCUGCAGGGCAACCUGCUAAAGAAUGCCCACAAGGUGUUGACCAGCCGUCCGGACGCGGUGUCAGCGGGCCUUAGGAAGCACGUGCGUGUGGAACUCAACCUCAAGGGUUUCUCGGAAGAGGGCAUCGAACUGUACCUGAGGAAGCGCCAUCGUGAGCCUGGGGUGGCCGAUCGCCUCAUCCGCCUGCUCAGAGCCACCUCAGCCCUGCACGGUCUGUGCCACAUGCCCGUCUUCUCAUGGAUGGUGUCCAAGUGCCACCACGAACUGUUGCUGCAGGGCGGAGGGUCCCCAAAGACCACCACGGAUAUGUACCUGCUGAUCCUGCAGCAUUUUCUGCUGCACGCCUGUCCCCCAGACUCAGCUGCCCACGGUCUGGGGCCCAGCCUGCUUCGGGGCAGGCUCCCCACCCUCCUGCACCUUGGCCUCCUGGCUCUCCGGGGCCUGGGCACAUGCUGCUAUGUGUUCUCAGCCAAGCAACUGCAGGCAGCGUACGUCAACAGUGAGGAUGUUUCUCUUGGCUUCCUGGUGCAGGCCAAGAGGGCUGUGCCCGGGAGUACAGCCCCCCUGGAAUUCCUGCACAUCACCUUCCAGUGCUUUUUUGCUGCAUUCUACCUCGCCCUUAGUGCUGACGUGUCUCCAUCCUCACUCAGGCAUCUCUUCAACUGCCACAAGCCCAGCAGCUUGCCGCUGGCCAGGCUGCUGCCCAAACUGUGCGUGCGGGGCUCGGGGUGCAAGGAAGGCAGUGUGGCUGCUUUGCUGCAGGAGGCUGAGCUGCACAACCUCCAGAUCACAGCGGCCUUCCUGGCAGGGCUGUUGUCCCAGGAGCACCAGGACCUGCUGGCCGAGUGCCAGGCAUCUGAGAAGGCCCUGCUCCGGCGCCAGGCCUGCGCCCGGUGGUGUCUGGCCCGCAGCCUCCAUAAGCACUUCCACUCCAUCCCAUCAGCCGUGCCGGGUGAGGCCAAGAGCAUGCACGCCAUGCCCGGGUUCAUCUGGCUCAUCCGGAGUCUGUAUGAGAUGCAGGAGGAGCGGCUGGCGCGGGAGGCCGUGCGUGGGCUGAACGUUGGGCACCUCAAGCUGACGUUCUGCAGUGUGGGCCCUGCCGAGUGUGCUGCCCUGGCCUUCGUGCUGCGGCACCUCCAGCGGCCUGUGGCCCUGCAGCUGGACCACAACUCUGUGGGCGACAUUGGCGUGGAGCAGCUGCUGCCUUGCCUCAGUGUCUGCAAGGCUCUUUACUUGCGAGAUAACAACAUCUCAGACCGAGGCAUCUGCAAGCUCGUCGAACAUGCUCUCCACUGUGAGCAGCUGCAGAAGCUAGCUCUAUUCAACAACAGAUUGACCGACGGCUGUGCACACUCCGUGGCUAGGCUCCUUGCACGCAGGCAGAACUUCUUGGCAUUGAGGCUGGGGAAUAACCACAUCACUGCUGCAGGAGCCCAGGUGCUGGCCCACGGGCUCAGAGCCAACACUUCCCUGCAGUUCCUGGGGUUCUGGGGCAACAAGGUGGGUGACAAGGGGGCCCAGGCCUUGGCUGAAGCAUUGGGUGAUCACCAGAGUUUGAGGUGGCUCAGCCUGGUGGGAAACAACAUCGGCAGUGUGGGUGCCCGAGCCUUAGCAUUGAUGUUGGAAAAGAAUGUGGCCCUGGAAGAGCUCUGCCUGGAGGAGAACCAUGUCCAGGAUGAAGGUGUGUGCUUUCUCGCUGAAGGACUUAAGAGAAAUUCAACUUUGAAAGUACUGAAGCUGUCCAACAAUUGCAUCACCUCCCUUGGGGCAGAAGCCCUCCUGCAGGCCCUUGAAAAGAAUGACACCAUCAUGGAAGUCUGGCUCCGAGGAAACACUUUUUCUCCAGAGGAAACUGGGAAGCUCAGCCGCAGGGACACCAGACUCUUGCUCUGAUGUCUGUGGACCGACGUUCACCUGUUUGUUUGGGAGCGUUCUGUGGGUUUGGGUCCCAGAAGUGGGGAUGACAUCUGACAGCAGCCCAGUCAGACGGAGCCCUGUCCUGUCCCAGGCUAACACAAUAGGUCACCUCUGUUCCGUGCAUCAGUGCCCUGCUGAGUAGACUUUCCCAAAGCCUACUUUUCCAUCAAAUUCUUCCCAAGAUUCAAUCCUGGGAUGUAGAAGACGGGCAGCCCUCCUGGACAUUAUAAGACUGGCCUCUGGCCAACCUGACACAGAUGCUGAAAUGAAUACACCCCACAGAAAUGUGGGAGGUGGAGUCCCAUUCCAAGCGGCUGAGUUGAGACUACAUGCAGCAUCAUUUCAUUAUUGCACCAACACAUCUUCACGCCUCCUUCUCCACCCAGGAGAUUGGUGCAGCCCAGUGGGUGAAGCACACAGCAGUCGGGAUACAUACCCUGGUGACACCUGCACAGGAGGCAACGCAUAUCCAGCCUCUGGCCGCAGGUGCCAGGUUACCAGUGAACAGCAAGGUCAUGGACAACAUCAGGGACCAGCCUGGACAGUUUUCCUGGAAGGGUUACAUGGUGAGAGACAGCAGCUGUGCAGACUGGCAAUCCAAGCUCUUUGGAUUCCCCGAGAUUUCUUUUUUUCCCUCUAAAUUUCAUCCCACUUAGCAUCACUUCCAGAACAAUCCCCAAAUCCAAUCCCCUAAGCAUUCCCCUUCUCCCUGCCAAUCCCUCUGAAAACCCUUCCUCUCAGGAGGGCUGCAUCUCUUCUUUAUUUGGAACUUCUUUCUUGACAUCUUCAGCUCCACAUUCCCCUCCCCUCCCCUGCUCUUCCCCACCCCCAGGAAACCAGAGGCUCCUUUGAGACCCACCCUUGCCUGAUUAUUCUGCUUCAGUCUCCUGACUGCUCUCUCUGCUUUUGCCCUUGUGCCUUGGAAUGAGCCCAUUAAAACAUAAGUCAGAUGAGCCACAUCUCUGAUCUCAACUUCCCAAGACUUCCAUCUGGUGCUGGGUGAAUGUCAAGGUCUCCUGCUGGCCUGGACCACCCCUGUGUUUCUCUGGCCUCACUGUUGUCACUUACACCCCCAUCCUCUGCAAUCCAGCCACACCAGCUUCUUGGCUGUUCCUUGACAACACCAAGCACAUUGCUGCUUCCAGAUGUUUGCACUUGCCUGUAUCCUCUUAUGGGAGCAGUCUUCUGUAGAUAGCAGCAUGGCUGGCUUCCUCAUUUCCUUCAGGUCUUUGCACGAUGCCUUAUCAAAGGAGCUUUUUCCUGAACAAUCUACCUAAAAUAGCAGACCCCAACCACCUCUUCUCCCCUGCCCUGCUUGGUACUGUCUUCUCAGCAUGCACCUCCUGAUGCACGCUUGUUUCUUCCUUCCCCUGGAAUGCCAGCUCCAUGGGAACAUGGGCUCUGCUCACUGCAAUGUCCUCAGAAUUUAGAACGGUGUCUGGCACAUAGUAGAUGCCCAAAUAUUUUUUGAAUGAAUGGAGAAUCCACCUGCUUAAAGGGGGCAGAAAUAGAAGUUGGUGCAGAGGAUGAUAAUGAGUCACUUUUUUCCCAGACACAUCUAGUGUCUCCUUCCUAAGGGAGGAAGGCUUCUGGGGACAUGGGAUCAUUCCUAAUGUAUCUACUGCUCAAAAUGGCUUCUAGAGGUAGCACAAAGAUCCCAAUGAAGAGUGAAUCUUCAACCUUUUUUCUCUCUGUGUGUGUUUUCUAAAUCAUUUGUCAUUGAUAACAGCAAAUAGCUCAAACCGGAGAGCAUGGAUUUAUUGUUCGGCUGGAUUAAAGAUGAUUGAAGUAAUCUUUUUUAUCUUAUCAUAAAGAGCUUUUAGGUGACCGGAGUAAAAGCCCUCAGAGACAGAAUGUUCAGUUGUACCUCGAGUUUGUCCCUCACUAAGAGAGAAGCAUAUCCUUGAGAUGGAAGGCCAUUGAUUGAAACCCUGUGCUGGUCUGUUACGGAGAAAGCACUGUACAGUAUCCUUGCCUGUGGGGAUGCCUGAUCCACUUAUCCUUGCGGUUUGGAGAAUGCACGUGUUCACAGAAGUGAUGGGGAAAUGGCUGGACUCAAGGGAGGUUGGAUGAAAAACUAGCAGUUGCCGUUUCCUGAGAUGGGGAAGGCAGCAGGGUUGCAGUGAGGGGUGCAGAGUAUCAGGAGCCUUUUGGUUGAGCGGAGGCAAUAGAAUAUAAAAAAAAAAAAAAAAACACUGAAUCUGAUGGGGCUGGGA